rnacentral:sRNA from 1 species
AAAAAAGGAAAAAAAG